rnacentral:rRNA from 1 species
UACGUAGGGUGCAAGCGUUGUCCGGAAUUAUUGGGCGUAAAGAGCUCGUAGGCGGUUUGUCGCGUCUGCUGUGAAAACUCGGGGCUCAACCCCGAGCUUGCAGUGGGUACGGGCAGACUAGAGUGCGGUAGGGGAGACUGGAAUUCCUGGUGUAGCGGUGGAAUGCGCAGAUAUCAGGAGGAACACCGGUGGCGAAGGCGGGUCUCUGGGCCGUAACUGACGCUGAGGAGCGAAAGCGUGGGGAGCGAACAGG